ACUCCUACGGGAGGCAGCAGUGGGGAAUCUUGCGCAAUGGGCGAAAGCCUGACGCAGCCAUGCCGCGUGAAUGAUGAAGGUCUUAGGAUUGUAAACUCCUUUCGACCGGGACGAUAAUGACGGUACCGGAAGAAGAAGCACCGGCUAACUCUGUGCCAGCAGCCGCGGUAAUACAGAGGGUGCAAGCGUUGUUCGGAAUUACUGGGCGUAAAGGGCGCGUAGGCGGCUUGCCAAGUCAGGCGUGAAAUUCCCGGGCUCAACCUGGGGGCUGCGCUUGAUACUGGCUGGCUUGAAUGCGGGAGAGGAUGGUGGAAUUCCCAGUGUAGAGGUGAAAUUCGUAGAUAUUGGGAAGAACACCGGUGGCGAAGGCGGCCAUCUGGCCCGUGAUUGACGCUGAGGCGCGAAAGCUAGGGGAGCAAACAGGAUUAGAUACCCUGGUAGUCCUAGCCCUAAACGAUGAUUGCUUGGUGUAGCAGGUACCCAAUCCUGCUGUGCCGCAGCUAACGCGUUAAGCAAUCCGCCUGGGGAGUACGGUCGCAAGGCUGAAACUUAAAGGAAUUGACG
rnacentral:rRNA from 1 species